CCUACGGGAGGCAGCAGUGGGGAAUAUUGCGCAAUGGGGGAAACCCUGACGCAGCAACGCCGCGUGAGUGAGGAAGGACUUCGGUCUGUAAAGCUCUGUUAAUGAGGAAAAAUGGUAGUUGGUCUAAUAGGCCGAUUAUUUGAUGGUACUCAUAGAGGAAGCACCGGCUAACUUCGUGCCAGCAGCCGCGGUAAUACGAAGGGUGCAAGCGUUGUUCGGAUUUAUUGGGCGUAAAGCGCGCGUAGGCGGACCUGCAAGUCAGAUGUGAAAUCUCGAGGCUCAACCUCGAAACUGCGUCUGAAACUACAGGUCUAGAAUCUCGGAGGGGGAAGGGGAAUUUCGCAUGUAGGGGUAAAAUCCGUAGAUAUGCGAAGGAACACCAGAGGCGAAGGCGCCUUCCUGGACGAGUAUUGACGCUGAGGCGCGAAAGCGUGGGGAUCAAACAGGAUUAGAUACCCUGGUAGUCCACGCUGUAAACGAUGAACACUAGGUAUUGGAGGAUUUGACCCCUUCAGUGCCGUAGCUAACGCGUUAAGUGUUCCGCCUGGGAAGUACGGUCGCAAGACUAAAACUCAAAUGAAUUGACCGGNGNGAGAGNGCGAGACGACGACGAGGGAGGAGG
rnacentral:rRNA from 1 species